AAUACAGAUAAUAAAAUUAUAAAGAAACAACCGUAUACAUUAGUAUGAAAAGCAAUACAACCUCAAAACCCGCAAAAUUAAGUUACAUAUCUUUUGCACGCACAGCAAAAUGCAUACCGAAUAUGCCUUCUGCCCAUACAGGUAAAUAUGGAUAUAACUUUAUCACCAUGUAGGCGCGCUCUCGGCUAUCAACCAGCAGUACGCUGAAUAACUGUAAUAUAAGCAUUUACGUGUAAUACUAGGCAAAAUAUUCGCCUAGGGGCCAGGAUGUUUAAAUGAGUUUAAACUCCUCCUCCAAGUGCAAACUCUCUCGGGAAAACUGACGCGCUUAAUGAAACACACCACACCUGUGAACACUCAAGAAUUUCACCCACACCAGAUGACACCACACAGGACACAACAUACCAUUUCUCAUUCGCUAUAUAUCAUUCGUUUUCGUCUACGGGCUUAAGCGCCACAUCAACCUUAAACAUUCGAAAUAAUUCCGAUCUCUUUGCGCAACGUCAUCGUAAAAAAUCGUUAUCUCCGCUACCAACCGUCAACACUUUCUGGACUUAAAACCGUGGUAUUAAUCUUUAUCAAAAAAAGUGUUAAACCAAUAAAAAGUUUGUGAAAAUUAACAUUUAAUAAAAAAAAGUAAAGAACAUUUUAAUUUAAACCUUAAAAAAAAAGCGUUUUGUGGAAAAAAUGGAAGACAUAAUGUCAUUGGUGAGUGCUAACAUUAUAGCAUAAUUAAUCAAAUGAUAUUCGUUUAUAUGCACUGUAGGCAUUAGUCUUUGGGUGUAUGUACAUAUAAUAUAUUGUGAAAUUUGACCGCAACAGACUGUAUGUUUCAUUUUCAUAACUUUGUUCUCCAAUAUCAUACGUAUUAAAUAAAAUGUAUUGUAGAAUUCUUUCUUUGCAAUUGUUGUUUUUCCACAGUUUUUAAUUCUUAUUAAUAUACUGGAAAACCGUGGCUACGAAAAUUCUGAAUUACGGCUGCACGUAUAACUAAGUGAGUACUAACGAAUUAAAAUGAAAAGAUGAUUUUACGCUACCAUGUCAUCCAAAAUUAGACUUCACAUCUGGAAUUACCAGACUAUGUCGUUAUGUAGCUAUAUUAUGUGAAAUUUUGAAAUUUUAUGAAAAUUGUUGGUAAAUCUAGUUAAGGCAUAAACCAUCGAUAGUCAAAAUAAACUAUUGAUGAUAAGACGAAAAUUAAA